UACGGGGGGGUAAGCGUUGUUCGGAAUUACUGGGCGUAAAGGGCUCGUAGGCGGCCAACUAAGUCAGACGUGAAAUCCCUCAGCUUAACUGGGGAACUGCGUCUGAUACUGGAUGGCUUGGAUUCGGGAGAGGAAUGCGGAAUUCCAGGUGUAGCGGUGAAAUGCGUAGAGUAUCUGGAGGAACACCGGUGGCGAAGGCGGCAUUCUGGAC
rnacentral:rRNA from 1 species